ensembl:lncRNA
CUCCCAUCUUGUGGACGAUCCUCUCCUCUAUUUUGCAGGCAGUUUCAUGGUCCUUGCUGUGGCUCCAAGGUCUGAUCUCAUGAUGGGCCCCAACCAGCUUGACCUUUGACCUCAACCACUGCCUGGCUGUCAGCUAUGCCUGGAAUGGUUCACGCUUCUCACUGGGCCUCUGAAGAUUUCUCAGGAGAUUACUGCUGCACCUGUAUUUCCUUGCUAAGAAGAAAAACUUCUAUUUGGAGAGCAUGUCAACAAUCAUCAAACCACAUUCUUUAGUUCAGUGAACUUCACUUAUAGGCCAUCAAAGCCUCAUCUGAACAUGGAUGCACCACUUGCAUAGGUUUAAUACUUGUAAAUAAACGGCUAAUCACACAAAUCACUGCAACAAUAAUAGUAAACAUUGUUUAAUGUUAAUCCUUGCACUCCACCUCUUGACGCAUGGACAUUCCCAUGCGCCAACUCACCAAACCUGGAUCCCUGUCUUAAAGAAAAAGAUUAGCUAGAACAUGUCCCAGGCAACAUCAGGGCACCUCCUCCGGAGUAGCUCCGUAACCCUGCAAUAAAAGAUGUUAGCGUGCGUUGCAUAUUAAGUUUGCUUAACACCUGGCUCUCCCAGGAGCCUGUAUACACACCAUCACGGCCUGGAAAGCAAAAUCUGGAAGUGAAAUCAAACUUCAUACCUGUAAACAAUUGUAUCAUAAGAGUAAUAAGCAUUCAACAUCAGCAAGACAAGUGUCAUGUGCAGGUUUUCUCAAAUCAGUAACUACAACUAUUACCCUAAUUCACCUCAGACAUGGAUUAUCCCAUGUACUCUGUUAACAUUAAUGUAAUCAGUGGCUUCUCUUAAGCAAAGUCACUCCACUCAUAUAUUAUUAUUAUUAUGGGGUCAAAAGUGGCCAGCAAAUGAGCCCAUAAUAAACUAUUCCAUAAUUACCGUAAUCUCUUAUUUGUUUUACUCAUGUCACUUGACCGCUUCAGCUGAUUCUCCUAAAUGCAGUCUCAGAAAAACAAACAUUAGCAAUACACAUUGACCAUCCUGGUGGGCAGGCGUCGGCCGUCCACAUUCCAGAGGUGCCAUAAAACACCAUAAAGUUAACACUCGCUGUGGAAAAAGUAACACUGGUCUCAUCACAGUAUGUCUCAAACUAUAUUAAUUUCUCCAUCAACAUAUAGCCUGUAACUACAGUUUUCUUCACACAUAAACCCAGAAAUCUUGUAGUAGAGAAACAUUAGCCAGUAUUCCUAUAAAUCACAUGAUCAAACACAUGAAGAACCGUAAUGCUGUAAAAACGAAAAUGCAAAUGUUAGCGCUUGCGCAGGCGUAUGCAUACUUUGUCACAGUUAUCUCUGUGAGCACACAAGCUAGUGAAUGACACACACACAGUAAAUUCACAGACACAGAAAAUGGCAUUUAAAAUGUUAAAUCAUCACGCAACCUCGAGUGUUGCUGUCAUCUUUCUGCUCCUGUAAAGGGAAGCACACACAGACUCAUCUGCACCCCUGCCAGGCGGGGGUCAACUUCACACAGUCGUGUUACAUCAGUAAAGUCUUGUCAGCUUUUGUCAGCUUUUACCAGUCAGUCAGUUUGUUUUCCUUUCACUCACUCAUUCAUGCAUUCAUUCUUUCUUUCUUUGCUGAUAGUGGAACCUAUCGUCGCAUUUAGUUUCCACUCUCAGCAAAAUGACGUCAUUUCAAAAAGAAAAAGAAGAACUUUAGUUUGGAUUACAUCGCUGAAUCCUUUUGGACUGGGACUGUAAUUCAAUAAUUGUCCCAAAUAAGUGGCUUUCUCCAGAGUCCAUUUAAAUGUGGAGAACUCACUUGACACAAUUUUCUCGACGACGUGUAGCAUUUUUAAUUCCCGACGGGCAGAUCUGCUUAAAGAAAAGAAAAUAGACAAACAAAAUCAGUGCCUGUUCAAAAGAUAAAAAUGAAAAAUAACAGAGAUUAUCAAACAAAACUUUCAGUGCACUGUGAAAGUAUCAAAAUAAAAAGGCCUUGUUAAGUCAUGACACAAACUCCUCAUCUCAGGAGGGUAAAUCAUACCAUUAGCAUGGUUUAUCAUACCAUCAUACUAAUCGGCAGGCUCAACUUCACAACAAAAGAAAAAUCAUCAGCUAGAUUCACUCCAAAUCAACCAUCAGCUGCACAAAACAACAUAACCUUAAUGCCUUAUUAGCUAUGAGUUUAAUCCCCAGGUCUGUGCUCUUCACUCAUUUAGGUCACAGAUCUAUUUUAUUCAGUUUUCCUUUUUUCCCUUCAUCAUAAAACAUGUGACAUGCUGUCAUGCACUUCACAAAAGAAGUUUGUUCUGACGUAUUCAGAGUUGUGUAUCUAAAUACUGUCAAGGCGCGGCUGUGUGGCAGGCAGGAGGAGGACCCAAACGCAAAACUCACAGACACGGAGAUGAACUCAAAAUCACAGCUUUAAUGCUGGAGUGGCAGAACAUAGGAAAUACAAAACUAAACUGGGAAAAGUAAACUAACAUACGCAGAGACACAGGGAGAUCCACACAACAUGAGGGACGACGUCACGCUGAACAGAGGGAGACGCAGACAGAAAUACACAGAGGGUUAACGAGGGGAGUGGGAACACACGGGGAACACAGGUGACACUGAUAAUCAUAACGAGACAGGGCGGGGUGAACUGAACGCUGACGGGAGAGGUGAAACAGGAAGUACAGAGGAGAGAGAGCACGAGUAGAACACCAACGUAACGGGCAGGGGAGACACGGAAUAAACACGAAAGGGGACGAGGGCUCAUAAAUACAUAGAGGGCACACAGGGGGAAGAGAGCACGGGGAGAACUUAGACAUAAUGGGCAGGGGAAGCAUGGAAUAAAACAUAAGGAGAGACGAGGGCUCACAGAUACACAGAGGGGCACACAGGGAGACAUGAAGGGCAAGGGAUCAAAACUAGAAGCCAUAGAAUAAGUCACACACAAGUACAAUAAUACGAAAAUCACAAAGAACUAAAAACGCUGGGUCAGGAGACCCAGGACCGUGACAGUACCCCCCCCUCAAGGGCUGGCUCCAGACAGCCCAAACACAGAAAAACAAAACCAAACAGAAAACAACCCAGGGCGGGCGGCGGGGGCCCAGGACGGAGGGCUCGGAACAGAAAACAAAAGAGCACAGCAAACACCGGAGCCCAAGAAAAUAACUCAAACACAGAGCAGUUCAGGAGGCCGGCCGUGCGCAAGGCAACGGCGGAGACGUGGAAACAGUUCAGGAGGCCGGCCGUGCGCAAGGCAACGGCGGCGACGUGGAAACAGUUCAGGAGGCCGGCCGUGCGCGAGGCAACGGCGGCGGUGAAGGAGACGGAGCAGUUCAGGAGAAGAGGGUCCGGGGGCCGGCCGUGCGGAAGGCGACGGCGGCCACUCAGGCGAUGACGGUGCAGUUCAGGGGGCCGGCCGCGCGGAAGGCAGCGGCGGCGGCUCUCCAGUGUCAGGCGUACUGGCCGAGGCCCGGUGGGCACAGG